rnacentral:tRNA from 1 species
UGAGGUGUAGCUCAAUGGGGGCACUUGCCUGGCAUGCAAGAGGCUCUCAGUUCAAUCCCCAGCACUGCAA